rnacentral:lncRNA from 1 species
AAAUCAAUCAACCUCACUCAUUUUUUUUAUCUCAUGCCUUGAGGCCUCUUUCUCUUCUUAAAACCAUUUUCAAAAAAUCUUAAAAUCAACCUAACCCACCAAAGAAAUUUUUGAGUGGAACUACGUCGGUUUUGAUCCCUUUCCCAAAAAGGGUACGUAGGCAGAGGACUCGUCCUUCCAAAUCAAAUAAAAAUAACCAAAAGCAUACUUCUUCUCCCUCCAUUCUUUCACUUAGACAUUAGGCAAUAAUUUUUCAAAUAAACAAGUAGUUUAGCACAAGAUAAUCUAGGUAAGCGGUUCCUUCGGAGUACCGAAGUCGUUUAGGGUGCUUAACACCUUCCCUAUUCGAAACCAACCCCCGAAUCCAAAGUCUCGAUAAGGGUUUUUACUCAUUUUUUUCCCUUCCCACGAAUAAAAAUUGAGAGUUCAAAGAUUGACGAUUCAAAUCAAUUAAUGGUUUGAUAUCCGAAAAUCGCGAGCACAGAAAUGGCGAC